CACGUAGGGCGCGAGCGUUGUCCGGAAUUAUUGGGCGUAAAGAGCUCGUAGGCGGCCUGUUGCGUCCGCUGUGAAAGCCCGGGGCUUAACCCCGGGUCGGCAGUGGAUACGGGCAGGCUAGAGGUAGGUAGGGGAGAAUGGAAUUCCCGGUGUAGCGGUGAAAUGCGCAGAUAUCGGGAGGAACACCGGUGGCGGAGGCGGUUCUCUGGGCCUUACCUGACGCUGAGGAGCGAAAGCAUGGGGAGCGAACAGG
rnacentral:rRNA from 1 species